rnacentral:rRNA from 1 species
CAGCAGCCGCGGGAAUACGUAGGUCCCGAGCGUUGUCCGGAUUUAUUGGGCGUAAAGCGAGCGCAGGCGGUUAGAUAAGUCUGAAGUUAAAGGCUGUGGCUUAACCAUAGUACGCUUUGGAAACUGUUUAACUUGAGUGCAAGAGGGGAGAGUGGAAUUCCAUGUGUGGCGGUGAAAUGCGUAGAUAUUGGGAAGAACACCAGUGGCGAAGGCGGCUCACUGGACCGACACUGACGCUGAGGCGCGAAAGCGUGGGGAGCAAACAGGAUUAGAUACCCGCGUAGUCCCUGUCUCUUAUACA